rnacentral:lncRNA from 1 species
GAGGAUUGUAUUUUAUUUCAAGGCAGGAGUGUAAUUAUCCUGGGCUUGAUAUAGAGGCUCAUGGGGGAGGGAUUAUGGAUUUUACUACUUGGGAAGAGUAAAUAAGGAGUAUUGCUUUGCUCAAGAACUUAAUCCUCUUAGGGAGUAUGCUUCCUCCUGUUUGUCUUAUUUCCUCUGCAAAUUCCUUUGCUCUUUGGAGGAGAGGUUUUAUUGAAUAGAUUAAAUGAAGUUAGUAAAAUAGUUAAAAAUAGUCAUUCCUUAUAGGUAUUGGAAACAGCUUGAAAGAGAGUUUAAAAGGUAGAGAGGAAAAGAACAAGAUACACUUUGAGAGUAAGUGAUGAGACAAAUACAGGGAGAUGAAGUGAAAACUAGUGGGGAAAAAGUGACAGGAAGCCUUGAAUUUGACUUAGCAAGGAACCAGAGAAGAGAAAGAACAGCCAAAUGAGAGAACAGGGAACUAAUUUUGAGUGACUAGCAUGUGCUAGUCUUCUACGACAGUUUGCCCAAAAGAGUAUCUUCCCAUCGUUCGGCUCUGUAAAUUAUCAUUUGGUUGUGUUUCCUUAAAGCUUGUGGGAUUUGUGCUUUGCCUAUACGUUCUUAUUUACACCAUUAUUUUGAGGGGCUGAUUAUUCAUUGCUUUUGUAAAAUGAUGCACUGAUGAAAAUGUGAAAGGAAAAUAUGUGGCAUUAUUUGCCAAGAAUAAAUGGAAAGGAUAAAAAAGAUUUUACCUUUUUUAACCAUUUUUCAGAAAAGAUGCAAUUAUCUUUUCUAUGUCCCAUCCAUAUCAGAUUAUUGAACCCUCUGUGUAUGUUUUAAAAUAAUCUAUAAAAUUCUACUUCCUUGACUCUAUAAGUCAACAAUUAUUUAUUGAAUCCUUAAUGAAAGUUGGAAAUAUCUUGAAAUCUAAGCUCUGGUUCCUACCUGUUUUAUCAAGUUGGAGAGACACACUACACAUAAGAUAAUUAGAGAACAUGUAAAUGCUUACAUUUGUGGGACCGAACUAUAAUUACAAUAGAAGUUUAGAAAGGGGAAAGAAUAGUGUAGGCUUUAGUUAGAAGUCUUCACAAAAAAUAAAACUGAAAAGUGGCAAACACUGUAGCUCAAAUUUUCUUUUGACUCAUCUGUAUUCUUUAGUUCACGUUUUAUACCUACGAGACUUAGGGCAUGUUUACCAGUAAAGCGUGUCCAGUACCUACAUAAGAAGGAAUUACUGAUCCCAGGACUAAAGAUUUUAGCUAGCAGGAUCUCACUUGGACACUUAGGAAAAUACUAGAAGGAACCACUAGCAACUGAAAAGUGAAAGAAAGAUUUAGUUUCUCUACCCAGGUACAAAUUAAAUGUAUAGUAUAUCAUAUAUGAUAUGCAGAAGGAGCACUAUAUACAGGCAUAAGUGCACUUGGGUAACAGCUCUGCUACUAAUUAACAGAGAAUUGGACUAGGUCAAUAGUUCUCAGUCUGUUCAAGUAAAAAGACUUGUAAUUUUAAAAAUUUGAUGGGGUGGGGAAUUCUGGAGUUAAAUAUUAAUAUUAUUAAUUCCAUCAAUGGAGAAAAUGUAAAUGUGCAUAUGAGAUUGCAGAAACUCUAGGAACCCACAGAUUGUUGACCACUGAAUUAGAUUAUCUCUGAAGUCCUUUCCACUCCAAAAUUUUAUGCUUCUAGCCUCUCCCCUUUAUUAUUUAUUAUCCCUAGGCUAAUUAAAAGUAUGUUUGUCAAUCACUUCCUUUGCUUUUUUGCCUGUGUUGAGGUUUCAUUUGCCCAUACUUAAUCUAACCUCAUUGUGAUGACUGAAAUCUCCAAAAAGGAGAGUGUGAUAGUUACAAAUGUAGUAAUGAUCUUUUAAACACAAUUCAUUAAUUUUAAAAUUUAAUACUGUGUUCCUAGUCAGUGUUGAGUAUGACUAAAAUGUAAUUAAUGAGAACUAAACAUUUCACUGACACCAGAGUUAAAUUUUAUUUUACCUGUGUGCUUAAAAAAAGCACUUUGCUGGCUGAGCAAUUGUUAGGAAAUUAAUUUGUGUAAGUUGUAGAAUUCACACUUGGUUUUGGCAAAAACAACUUUUUCAGAUUCAAUUAGGUGGACUUUUAAAAAUAUUUCUUAUCCCAUAGACUGUAUCUCCAUUGUGUCAUUCUCUCUCUUUCUCUGACCCGCUUUCCUUUAACUACUCAAUAGUAAAUCAUGGGAUGCAGCUUGAUGAAUAAGUAAUGUCUCGUGUAAAAUUAAAUGAGAGUAGGAAGAACCAACCCUUCUGAUGAAUGUGGCAAUUUUCUAAUAAUACAAGCCUUGAUGAAACGGUUACUUACAGACAGCUGUGUACUACAAACAUUCAACUUCAUUGGUUUGCCUUGCUUAGCAUUUCAGUUAUUGUCUUGCCAUGAAACUUAGUAUUGCACUGUACACAUUUUAGAAUAGUGACAAGAAUGUUCUUUAGCACUGAAAACAACCAACAGAGAAUACCAAGCCAAUAUAUUGAUUUCUCCUGUUAUUUAGAAAUUUAGUGUUUCAAUACUGGUUAUUUUGGUCUUUGACUCACCUAUGUCAAUCCUGCUAGAGAGGCAACUUAGCAUCAAGAGUAUUUUUUUAUAGAGAUAGUGAUAACCUCAGUUGUUUAAAUCCCAUGAAGUGAACUUGUUAAAGUUAUUGGAUGUAGUGGUGAGACCCUUAAUUAGAAAAAUCUUUUAAUGCUUUCUUUUUUACUUUUCCAUUCUCUAUUCUUGAUUUUUGACAUCCGUCAUGAUUUUUAAUGAAAUUGCCUAUGUAUAUGAAAUUCCAUUUCUAGGUUUUAAUAUGUAAUAUUUUUCUUUUUUUUAUAAAUUAAUAUACAAAGGAAGAAUUUGAGGCAAGCAUCGUUUUAAUAGAUCAUUUUCUCUCUACUUAAGAAUUCUCUUAUUCCAAGUAUAGAUUGGCUAGCUCCAGGACUCCCCUCCCCAGGUUUUUGGCCUACAGAAUACUGUUGUAUUGCCUAGAAUCUCAGUCAUUCUCAUAAACAUGAUAAUUUUUGGUACAGGCCUUUCUUUGCCAUAUGGUCUCAAAGUAGAGUUGGGCAAUUCAAUAUGAACUACUUUCGCAAAAUAUAAUUUAGAAUUUUUGUAAAGUAUGUUCAAAAGAUAACCAGAUUUACUUGUGGGAUUAGAGAUACAAAUACCAAUGGUAGAAUUUUGCCUAAGAACAAUCACCUACUAAACUAUCAAUAUGAGAAGUUGCCUUUUUGUACUUAAUUCUGUUGCAACAAACAGCAAGUUUUUGUUGUUUGCUUAAUGGUAUUUCCUCUAGAGCGAUCAGAAUGCCCUAAGAUUUUAUCUCUUAUAAGGUCACUUGGGUUUUCAAAUAGAAAGAAUAGUCAAGCUAAGCUGGACUGAACAUAAGAAAAAAUUUAUCUCCAUCAAAAGAAGUUAUUAAUCUAAGUGGGCUAGUAUGAAUCAUUCAUUUAUUAGACAUAGUAGAUAAAAUGGGAAACAUUUCAAAUCAUUAGAUAAACUGACCCAGAAUUGAAUUCUCCCUUCCUUAAAAUAUUUUUUAUUUGCUUUUUUCAUAGACUCAAUGUGGGCAUAUUAACUGAUAAGGGAGAGAUUCUUGAUCUGGAACCAUUCCCUGCCAUUCUGCUUGUUUUUUCCUCUUUUAAGGUUGCUGGCUUUAGAGUACAUGUCACAAGGAUCUCAAGUUAAUGACAUUGGAAUGUUGAUGCUCAGUUGGAUAUCUUGCUGUUUUCAACAAAAUGGUUUUAUAGUAUGCUUUCUCAAAGCUUCUGUGUUCUUAAUGGAAAAUAUCAAUAAAUUAAAUGGUGUGAUUCAAAAUAUAAAUAGGUUUUUGACACUAAUCAUAUGCUCUUAACAAUCACUUUUUGAUAAUUUAUUGUCCUGUACGUUAAACCUCACAUAGAGCGACAAUUGCCACCAGAAAAUUCCCCUUUACCUGCUAAUUAGAAUGAAAGUAGUAUGUGACCUCCGCUUUUCAGUUAAUGAGUAGCAAGCUUGUAGUAGGGGCUGUUUAUCUUACCCAUUUUGGGAUUUGGGCCUUAUUACUUUCUUAGGUUUGUCCCUUCAGUUUGGAAAGGCUAUUUAAAACACUUGCUGGGAAACAGACAGUAAAGCUAUGAGAUAAUUCUCUAGUCUUAGAGAUAGAGAAAUGAGUACCAGUUGAUGCUAACAUGAUACUUAAGACUUUGAGGGGCUUCCAUCCAAGCUUUGGCAUGAAUCUGUUAGACAAAAUUUUAUUCACUCCUUUAAGAAUCUUUUUUCUAGAACGGUUUUCCUUUUUAUUGUUAACAACUUCUAAGCAUCUGGUGUCUUUUUUUUUAAGAAACAAAGUCCUUUUUCCAGUAGGUAUUGACUGUUCCAUGGAAACUCUCAGGAGUGUUUGUAGGCUCUGUGCAUGCUUUGUAUGAGUUCAGUUUGAACAAUGCGUUUUGAAUCAUCUAGGAUGUCCAAUUCUGGCAUGUCUUCACUAAUUGUGUUUUUAAACAUUUUUCGUGUCAUUUUCCAAACCUUACUUCCCAUCUUAUUCAGAGAGGUUAAUCAAGGAAUGAAAUUUGUUUGGGGAUAGGGAUGGGGGUGGGUUGGGGACUUGAGUGAAGUCAACUUGGGGUAUUUACUUUAAAGUGUUUCUCAAGCAGUUCCUAAACAGUAUUUAGAGAUUCCCUGGGAUGUUUGUGUACUCAGUUUAUUCUGGAUAAAGUGGUGGUCUUAGUGAGAUUUGCAUUCUUCAGGCAGGACAGGCUCUCAAUUUCAUCUGUAGUGUAACUUUGUAUUUGAAUCCAAGAAAGUAAUGGACAGAGACAGUGCUCCUAUUGUAAUGUUUCUGGCAAGUGCUCCUUAAAAUGCACAUAUAAUCCUCAGUUUUCUGAGCUUUUAAUCCCAUGGUGCUAGGAGAUAUCAUUUGUGUCUGCAGCUCUUCUCGAAAGUGAGAAGAAGGCUUUGGGACCAGUAAGCAAGGGGCAACUGGAUCAUCCACUAAAUUUUUUUAUUCAAGACACACUAGAGACCCUCCUGUGUAUCUAGUAAGUGAUAAUAAAGGUGCUAGGGAAAGCCUUAAAUUUGAAGACACAUGGAGACCAUAGAAAAUCUAAAGUUGUAGGAGGAGAAAAACAUGCCAUAGAUAAAAUAGAGCUGUAACUGCUGGCUAAGACUCAAUGGAACUUCCACUUGCUCUAAAACCAGGGAAAUCUUAGAUAACUGGGUGUGAUGUAUCUAUAGAUACAC